UACGAAGGGGGCUAGCGUUGCUCGGAAUCACUGGGCGUAAAGCGUGCGCAGGCGGUUUCUUAAGUCAGAUGUGAAAGCCCCGGGCUUAACCUGGGAACUGCGUUUGAAACUGGGAGACUUGAGUGUGGCAGAGGGGGGUGGAAUUCCACGUGUAGCAGUGAAAUGCGUAGAUAUGUGGAGGAACACCGAUGGCGAAGGCAGCCCCCUGGGUUAACACUGACGCUCAUGCACGAAAGCGUGGGGAGCAAACAGG
rnacentral:rRNA from 1 species